AAAUUGAAGAGUUUGAUCAUGGCUCAGAUUGAACGCUGGCGGCAGGCCUAACACAUGCAAGUCGAACGGUAACAGAAAGCAGCUUGCUGCUUUGCUGACGAGUGGCGGACGGGUGAGUAAUGUCUGGGAAACUGCCUGAUGGAGGGGGAUAACUACUGGAAACGGUAGCUAAUACCGCAUAACGUCGCAAGACCA
rnacentral:rRNA from 1 species